rnacentral:rRNA from 1 species
CUCGUAGGCGGUUCGUCGCGUCCGGUGUGAAAGUCCAUCGCUUAACGGUGGAUCUGCGCCGGGUACGGGCGGGCUGGAGUGCGGUAGGGGAGACUGGAAUUCCCGGUGUAACGGUGGAAUGUGUAGAUAUCGGGAAGAACACCAAUGGCGAAGGCGGCCCCCUGGACGAAGACUGACGCUCAGGUGCGAAAGCGUGGGGAGCAAACA